AGUGAACGCUGGCGGUAGGCUUAACACAUGCAAGUCGAACGGCAGCACAGUAAGAGCUUGCUCUUACGGGUGGCGAGUGGCGGACGGGUGAGGAAUACAUCGGAAUCUACUUUUUCGUGGGGGAUAACGUAGGGAAACUUACGCUAAUACCGCAUACGACCUACGGGUGAAAGCAGGGGAUCUUCGGACCUUGCGCGAUUGAAUGAGCCGAUGUCGGAUUAGCUAGUUGGCGGGGUAAAGGCCCACCAAGGCGACGAUCCGUAGCUGGUCUGAGAGGAUGAUCAGCCACACUGGAACUGAGACACGGUCCAGACUCCUACGGGAGGCAGCAGUGGGGAAUAUUGGACAAUGGGCGCAAGCCUGAUCCAGCCAUGCCGCGUGGGUGAAGAAGGCCUUCGGGUUGUAAAGCCCUUUUGUUGGGAAAGAAAAGCAGCAGGUUAAUACCCCGCUGUUCUGACGGUACCCAAAGAAUAAGCACCGGCUAACUUCGUG
rnacentral:rRNA from 1 species